rnacentral:rRNA from 3 species
AAUAGUCAAAUGGCUGAACCAGCAACUUGGAAGAACGAAAAAUGAUUAAGUCAUAUAAAGUUCUAGAUAAAAUAAAGAGUAUGACGAUUUUUUAUCUAUAAGUCUUGACCAAAUUACGUGCCAGCAGUCGCGGUAAUACGUAAAAGACUAGUGUUAUUCAUCUUUAAUCGGUAUAAAGGGUACCUAGACAGAAUGCCAAGCCAUAAAAGGAACUAGUAUUCUAGAGUUUUAUGUGGGAAUAUACGAAUUACCAGAGAAGAGUUCAAAUUUUAUUAUACUGGUAGGACGGGUAACGGCAAAGGCUGUAUUCUAAGUAAAAACUGACGUUGAGGGACGAAGCCUUGGGCAGCGAUAAGGAUUAGAUACCCUAGUAGUCCUUGGAGACAAUUAUGAGUGCCAUAGGCUAGAAUAAUUUAGUUUAUAAAUGAAAGUGUAAGCACUCCACCUCAUGACUAAGGCGGAAAUGCACAAAUUGAAAUCAUUAGACCGUUUCUGAAAUCAGUAGUGAAGUAUGUUAUUUAAUUCGAUGAUCCGCGAAUAACCUUACCACGUUUUGAAUAUUAUUAAGAAUAUUACAAGUGCUGCACGGCUGUCUUCAGUUAAUGUCGUGAGAUUUUGGUUAAUUCCUUUAAUUAACGAAAACCCUUGCUUUAUUUGUUAUUAAAGUAUUUUUCUACAAAGGGAAAAAGUAAUAGGGACCAAGACAAGUCAUCAUGGCCUUAAUAACG